AAGAAACUGUAAGCAAAUAUGAUGAUUAUUUACAAAUAAAAGUCAAACUUCAAUUUUGCAAAGUGCAAUAAAGUUGAUUAAUUCAUCUAUAUUUUGUUGGUUUUUGGACAUCAGGAUUUCCGGUUUCACAUAGAUUUGAGUCAGCAAUUCCAAUCCUGUGGAAAUAUUUUUUGGUGUAAGUAUGACCAGUGAGCAAUCGAUUAACAAUCUUUAUGUUUUCAGGUUUCAUGUUUGAUGAAAAGAACCAGGGCUGUUUAGCAGGCGCCGGGAAGAAUUGGUAGAAGAGUGACUCAAUGCGUUUCGACGCAUUUGUGACCGACAGACAGAAGUUGAUUGGUGAACCAACAUUUGCUGCAUGCUUCGCAAAAUAAUCGGCUGUUUCAUUGAUUGGUAUACCGACAUGGGAAGGUGUCCAAACAAACGAGAUUUUAAUUAAAUGCGAAUUAACUAUUUUGUUUAGAAUAUUGUACACAGUGAAAUUGUGAGAUGUGUUGUUUUUAAGCAGAAGACAAGCAUUUUUGCUGUCUGUAAAUAAAGCAGCUGUGCUGACACCGUCUUCGAUCAUCAAA